UGGACGCUAUAUAUAGUGACAAACACACACCUAUACUUCGACAUCUUCCUUCAUUCUUUUCCUUAGUAUAGUAGUUGUAUUGCGGAGCUAAAAUUUGCGAAAUUUUCGUUUUCUUCUUCGGAGGAAAACGAAUCCUAUGAGACGGGAGCCGCCUCUGUUUUCUGGGUUUUUUCAUAAUUUCGGGUGUCUUCGAUUUCUGCAUCUGUGAUGUCCUUCAAUCAUUUCCACUUUUUUUUGUCCCCAUCUGAUUUGAUGAUUUUGGAAGAAUAUUUGUGGAGAGGCAACUCAUUAGAGUCACUGAUGCACUAAACAAUCAAUGGUGUUUACAGCGCUUUACGUUGCCGAUAGAAACCUAACGGUGGUGCUGAGAUUCUGACAGCGGCUUCUUUCCGAUGGAGCUGCUGCAUUCAGAUGCGCCCACAUUCAAAUUAAUUGCCCUCAAUAAUUAUGGUCACCUUUGUUNUUUCAAUCAUUUUCUAUCUUACAUUUAUUUGGUUACCAACUUUUUCAGCUGCUUCUCAUUUGUAGGAGAUUGUAUCUAGGGUUUAGGAGAUCAAACAUAAGAGCAAUACGAAAUCGAUAUUAAAUUUUAUUUUAGAUGAAUUUAGUAAGCAUUUUCGAUCUCUGGAUCUGAGGUCUACUUCAAUAAUUUUUCCUUUUUGGUGCAUUGAAUUUGAUAAAAAAAAUUAUCUAAUAGUAUGUUGUUUGGAGAGGCAACUCAUUAGAGUCACUGAUGCACUAAAGAAUUAAUGGUGUUUACAGCGCUUUACGUUGCCGAUAGAAACUUAACGGUGGUGCUGAGAUUCUGACAGCGGCUUCUUUCUGAUGGAGCUGCUGCAUUCAGAUGCGCCUACAUUCGAACUAAUUGCUCUAUACAAUUAUCAUCACGGUUUUUUUCCCAAUGAUUUCCCAUCUACAAAUUUUGAGUUCGAAAAUUUUCUUGAUUCUUUGGGCUUGGAAGCCCAAUGUGUAAUUACUGGGCCUUUUCGUGACGUUUUUGUGUAGUUUGAUUUUUAUUUCGUGAAGUGUAGAAUAUUAAAAUCAAAUUUCUCUAUGUAGCUGUCUCUGUAUUGUAAUAAUGAACUCGUCUAUAGUUUUUAAUACUAUUGAUGAGGAGUAAUAUGUGCAGAGUAGGGAAAGAAUACAAAUCAGAGUAAUCGACCCCACUGGCGGACGAAUAUGGCAGAAGAGAUACACUCACCAGAGAAGUNCUUUACGUUGCCGAUAGAAACUUAACGGUGGUGCUGAGAUUCUGACAGCGGCUUCUUUCUGAUGGAGCUGCUGCAUUCAGAUGCGCCUACAUUCGAACUAAUUGCUCUAUACAAUUAUCAUCACGGUUUUUUUCCCAAUGAUUUCCCAUCUACAAAUUUUGAGUUCGAAAAUUUUCUUGAUUCUUUGGGCUUCGAACCCCAAUGUGUAAUUACUGGGCCUUUUCGUGACGUUUUUGUGUAGUUUGAUUUUUAUUUCGUGAAGUGUAGAAUAUUAAAAUCAAAUUUCUCUAUGUAGCUGUCUCUGUAUUGUAAUAAUGAACUCGUCUAUAGUUUUUAAUACUAUAUUUUUAUUUCAAAAUAAAUCAUUUAAUGCCAAAUUUAGUUUUGCCAAAGGGAUUGGUGCACUAAUCUAUUUGAUUAGGGUUGGCAAUUAAAACUUUCGUGAGCAGUGAGCACAAAAAAUUAUACGCUGGUAAGAUAAUAUAUUUUUCUUUUUAAUAGAUAAUGAGUAUAAGUUUUAUGCAAACUAUGUGUAGGGCAAUAAAUAUUGUAAUAAUGCAACUGUUUUAAUCUGUAUGAAAAAUAAAAUGAGAUUGUUUUGAUGAAACAAAUUGAGUAUUAUUUUUUAUUUAAUUGUUAUAGUGAUAGAUUUUUAACCAAUUGUAUCUGUAUCUUUGGAUCGGAAUAAAAAUUUGUUCCCUUUAUUCAAUAUUGGACUUAAUCGUAAUUACAUAGUAAUAGUAGCACGCUAGUUCUGGCCCAACUUCAUUGUCCUUAAAUAUUCAAAUUUUCGUAAGUUCAUCUUACGAAAAUGAGUAAAUACCAAUAUUUCCA
rnacentral:lncRNA from 1 species